rnacentral:pre_miRNA from 1 species
GAUUUCAACUGAAAAAGUCAUCAACAACAAAGUUAUAUAACUCAUCAAGAUCUAUAACUUUUAUUUUGGUUGUUUCUUCAUCCGACAAAGUGAUAGUAAUAUUGUUCACAAAAUUUACAUGUCUCUCAUAUAUUUUUAUAAACUAUGAGACAUAUGUAAACUUUAUGAACAAUGUUACUAUCACUUUAUCAGAUGAAGAAAUGACUAAAAUAAAAGUUAUAUGUCUUGAUGAGCUCUGCAACUUUUAUGUUUAUGACUUUUUCAGCUGAAAUU